rnacentral:rRNA from 1 species
GACGUAGGGCGCGAGCGUUGUCCGGAUUUAUUGGGCGUAAAGAGCUCGUAGGCGGUUUGUCGCGUCGGCCGUGAAAACUUGGGGCUUAACCCCAAGCCUGCGGUCGAUACGGGCAGACUUGAGUUCGGCAGGGGAGACUGGAAUUCCUGGUGUAGUGGUGAAAUGCGCAGAUAUCAGGAGGAACACCGGUGGCGAAGGCGGGUCUCUGGGCAGUAACUGACGCUGAGGAGCGAAAGCGUGGGGAGCGAACAGG